rnacentral:rRNA from 1 species
CCUACGGGUGGCUGCAGUGAGGAAUAUUGGUCAAUGGGCGCGAGCCUGAACCAGCCAAGUAGCGUGAAGGAUGACUGCCCAUGGGUUGUAAACUUCUUUUAUACAGGAAUCAAGUGAGGCACGUGUGCCUUCUUGUAUGUACUUUAUGAAUAAGGACCGGCUAACUCCGUGCCAGCAGCCCCGGUAAUACGGAGGAUCCGCGCGUUAUCCGGGUUUUUUGGGUUUAAAGGGGGCGUUGAUGGGUGGUUAAGACAGUUGUGAAAGUUUGCGGGUCAAACGUAAAAUUGCAAUUGAUACUGGCAGCCUUGAGUACAGGUGAGGUAGGCGGAAUUCGUGGUGUAGCGGUGAAAUGCUUAGAUAUCACGAAGAACUCCGAUUGCGAAGGCAGCCUACUAAACUGCCACUGACAUUGAUGCUCGAAAGUGUGGGGAUCAAACAGGAUUAGAUACCCGAGUAGUC